rnacentral:sRNA from 1 species
GGCAGUGGCAUCCGGGGCCGGGGUCGCGGCCGUGGACGGGGCCGGGGCCGAGGCCGCGGAGCUCGCGGAGGCAAGGCCGAGGAUAAAGAGGUAGGUAUCAGCCACGCUCGGGGUCGGGCCCCUGGGCGGCGCCGGAGAGCAGUCCUGGUCACUGGCGCCUUUUCUCCCUUUAGUGGAUGCCCGUCACCAAGUUGGGCCGGUUGGUCAAGGACAUGAAGAUCAAGUCCCUGGAAGAGAUCUAUCUCUUCUCCCUGCCCAUUAAGGAAUCAGAGAUCAUUGAUUUCUUCCUGGGGGCCUCUCUCAAGGAUGAGGUUUUGAAGAUUAUGCCAGUGCAGAAGCAGACCCGUGCCGGCCAGCGCACCAGGUUCAAGGCAUUUGUUGCUAUCGGGGACUACAAUGGCCACGUCGGUCUGGGUGUUAAGUGCUCCAAGGAGGUGGCCACCGCCAUCCGUGGGGCCAUCAUCCUGGCCAAGCUCUCCAUCGUCCCCGUGCGCAGAGGCUACUGGGGGAACAAGAUCGGCAAGCCCCACACUGUCCCUUGCAAGGUAGGCUGGUGGCAGGUGAUGGGCCUGCGGUGGGGCAGGCUCCCUCGGGCCCCCGUCUCCUGACUCCUUCCCUCACCAGGUGACAGGCCGCUG